rnacentral:lncRNA from 1 species
GAGAUAGCGUUAUCCAUCCACCCUCUAGCUUUCUUUAGCCACCCUCGCUGCUGUAUUUCUCUCCGCGCCUCGUGUUGCCAUGUGACAUAUUGAUUUAUUUGCUCUUUCUACUUCUAUCUUGCCUGCAGUGUACAGUCACGAUGGCAGGGACACUCUCUCCUGUUUAUACUGUUUCUGUUACGCUGGCAAAUAAUAAGCACUCAGUGAGAGGGAGGGGUGAAAAAGAAGGGAGAGGAGGAGGAGGAGGAAGGGGGAAGGGAAAGGAAAGGGGGGAGGAUGGGAAGGAGAAAGAAAAGAAACAAGGGAAGGAAGUAGGGAGGGUGAGUGCUGACUCAGCCACCCACUUCCUGGUCACGUGACCAUAAGUCACUUUGCUCCUGGGUCAGUUUUUUCCUCCCUACACUGCAGAGUUUAGAUCCAUCAAUCACUCCCGGCACUCAUGGUCCAUCAUUCCGUGCAUCGUGAUUCUGUUUCUUUUGAUUGCAGGUACAAUAAGAAGAUAGUCUCCACGGGUCCAUGCUUGCCUGGCAAGCACAAGGUCCUGAGUUCAAUUCCCAGUACCAGAAAACACAAGAACAACAAACAGAUAGUGGCAGGAGGAAGAGCCUCUCACAUCAGUGGGCUUUGUACUUCAUUGUCACAACUACUAGUGAGCUGGGAACCACAAAUCUCACCCGCUAGUCAGGAGAAAGGUAGGAAGAAUUUUGUCAAAGAUCGAUUAGCUUCUGGAAUGGAUCCUGGAUUUGGGGAAUGUCACAUUCUGGCCAGGCGGAUAUCACGCAGCACCUCAUGUCAAAAUCACCACAGCCCUUGCCAAGGAGAGAACCUACUUCCCUGUGCAGCAGAGAGGACCAUCGGGUGCUGGCUCUUAAUUCCUGGCUCAGCCAAGCAACUUAACAGUGAUGGUCAACGUUAUUUUGCAAAAGCCAGGAAAGCACUGAAAUCUAAGGCGCUGUCCAGUCAUUCAUCAAGACUCAGUGAAAACACUGCUUCUGUAUCUAAAAUGCAGACAUCUUCUGUAUAAACAAGGGAUUUUUUUUUCACUGUGUACAGAACUUUCACUUUAGUGAUUACAGCAUCUUCAAAACUGAAAGACUGCCAAGGAAAAGGGGUGG